rnacentral:rRNA from 1 species
CCUUUUGUAUAAUGGGUCAGCGACUUAUAUUCUGUAGCAAGGUUAACCGUAUAGGGGAGCCGUAGGGAAACCGAGUCUUAACCGGGCGUUAAGUUGCAGGGUAUAGACCCGAAACCCGGUGAUCUAGCCAUGGGCAGGUUGAAGGUUGGGUAACACUAACUGGAGGACCGAACCGACUAAUGUUGAAAAAUUAGCGGAUGACCUGUGGCUGGGGGUGAAAGGCCAAUCAAACCGGGAGAUAGCUGGUUCUCCCCGAAAGCUAUUUAGGUAGCGCCUCGUGAAUUCAUCUCCGGGGGUAGAGCACUGUUUCGGCUAGGGGGCCAUCCCGGCUUACCAACCCGAUGCAAACUGCGAAUACCGGAGAAUGUUAUCACGGGAGACACACGGCGGGUGCUAACGUCCGUCGUGAAGAGGGAAACAACCCAGACCGCCAGCUAAGGUCCCAAAGUCAUGGUUAAGUGGGAAACGAUGUGGGAAGGCCCAGACAGCCAGGAUGUUGGCUUAGAAGCAGCCAUCAUUUAAAGAAAGCGUAAUAGCUCACUGGUCGAGUCGGCCUGCGCGGAAGAUGUAACGGGGCUAAACCAU